UAGGGAAUCUUCCACAAUGGACGAAAGUCUGAUGGAGCAACGCCGCGUGAGUGAAGAAGGGUUUCGGCUCGUAAAACUCUGUUGUUAGAGAAGAACAUAUCUGAGAGUAACUGUUCAGGUAUUGACGGUAUUUAACCAGAAAGCCACGGCUAACUACGUGCCAG
rnacentral:rRNA from 1 species